GACGAACGCUGGCGGCGUGCCUAAUACAUGCAAGUGGGGCGCAAGGAAACACACUGUGCUUGCACACCGUGUUUUCUUGAGUCGCGAACGGGUGAGUAACGCGUAGGUAACCUGCCUAUUAGCGGGGGAUAACUAUUGGAAACGAUAGCUAAUACCGCAUAAUAUUAAUUAUUGCAUGAUAAUUGAUUGAAAGAUGCAAGCGCAUCACUAGUAGAUGGACCUGCGUUGUAUUAGCUAGUUGGUAAGGUAAGAGCUUACCAAGGCGACGAUACAUAGCCGACCUGAGAGGGUGAUCGGCCACACUGGGACUGAGACACGGCCCAGACUCCUACGGGAGGCAGCAGUAGGGAAUCUUCGGCAAUGGACGAAAGUCUGACCGAGCAACGCCGCGUGAGGGAAGAAGGUUUUCGGAUCGUAAAGCUCUGUUGUAAGUCAAGAACGUGUGUGAGAGUGGAAAGUUCACACAGUGACGGUAGCUUACCAGAAAGGGACGGCUAACUACGUG
rnacentral:rRNA from 1 species